UGGGGAAUAUUGCACAAUGGGCGAAAGCCUGAUGCAGCAACGCCGCGUGAGUGAUGAAGGUCUUCGGAUUGUAAAGCUCUGUCUUUUGGGACGAUAAUGAUGGUACCAAAGGAGGAAGCCACGGCUAACUACGUGCCAGCAGCCGCGGUAAUACGUAGGUGGCGAGCGUUGUCCGGAUUUACUGGGCGUAAAGGGUGCGUAGGCGGAUGUUUAAGUGAGAUGUGAAAUACCCGGGCUUAACUUGGGUGCUGCAUUUCAAACUGGAUAUCUAGAGUGCAGGAGAGGAGAAUGGAAUUCCUAGUGUAGCGGUGAAAUGCGUAGAGAUUAGGAAGAACACCAGUGGCGAAGGCGAUUCUCUGGACUGUAACUGACGCUGAGGCACGAAAGCGUGGGUAGCAAACAGGAUUAGAUACCCUGGUAGUCCACGCCGUAAACGAUGAGUACUAGGUGUAGGAGGUAUCGACCCCUUCUGUGCCGCAGUAAACACAUUAAGUACUCCGCCUGGGAAGUACGAUCGCAAGAUUAAAAC
rnacentral:rRNA from 1 species